rnacentral:lncRNA from 1 species
GUGACUUUAUGCCGUUUCUAGGCAGAGAAACACUCACACGGCAGUAAACAUCAAGGCAUCCUGGGAGGUGGCUCCAGUAAUAAGUAUUUCCUUGCUCUUUUGUACCCUUAAAGGUUCAAUUCUCCUGACUUUUUAUGUUUUCCUGGUGUCAUUCUAUAUGUAAAAUCCAAAUUUUAUGAUUUCUUUUCAAAGACAAAAUGUUACUGUACUUCACACAGUCUAAGUCUGAUCUUUAGAAAUAUUUACAUCUAUUUAAAAUUUAUUCAUUAAACUUCUUAGUCAUAAAAUCUCAUAAUACCUGUGUUAGAGCCUAUGGUUAAUGUGUGCUUCCAAUGCCUGAAAGAAACUGUAUGUUUUAUUAAAAUACUUAUCAUAAUUAUAAUACAUCUAGGAUAACAAGGACUAGUUUUAUAAAAUCUAGAAAAUCCUGGAAGUGAAAGUGAACUGUAGUUCCAGCAUUCAUUUUGUCUAAAGCUAAAGUGUUUUUACUGAAAAAAAAUAGAUUUUUUUCCCCUCUGCAAACCUGAAGAUAGUGCCACAUGGAAAUAUGAUUUUCAGAAUUUACAGGUUGGUAAGGUGACUCAUGGCAGAAGUCAUAUCAUUCAUCUAUAUCUGUAGCCUGGGAAUAUGCCUCAUAAAUUGAAAAAAUGUCUACAUAUCUCUAACAUACUCCCAAAGAAAAGG